rnacentral:lncRNA from 14 species
GCACUGGGUUAAAAUUUAAUAUACAAACUCUUAACCAAGUAGCAAUUGUUCAGGAAGAGCAGUGUCAAUGCACAUUCUACACCUUCAGGGACUGAAAUUCUACAAAGACUCAGAAACCAUGCUUUUUCCUCUCCGGAGAAUGACACCUGGGUAUAUGAGGUUGUUGCAGACUCAAGCUGCAGGAAAACUUGCUACCAAUUCAUCCGACACAGUGCUGCAACGGGCAGCAUUGCUACUGGGAAUGUUUGGGAUCAGUAUAUCCAGCUACAGUACACACCAGCUAACUCAACAGAAGAGACUUCCCCUGACCCUUUAAGCUGCACUGAGAUGUGACCCAAGAAGUAAUGACUUAUGUCACAGUGCUGAUGAGUGGCUUUUCUGCCUCAGUUGCUGGUGUGGCAGUAAUGAGACACUUUGCAGCUGUGAUUUCUACAUGCAAGUUAAAAAGAUGGAAGAAUUACCGACUUAUUCGAGAAAGACAAAAAGAAAAAUGACUAGCAGAGGCAUCAGAUUUCCAGAUAAGAUGAACUGUCUGUAAAUACAAUGGACUUUUUUUGUUAUCCAGUGUAUACAUAGAGAUCUAAAGGUAUAAAAUGCUGUUAAAAUUGGAGUAGGUGUAAACAGACUGAUGGGGUACCAUGCUUCAUUAGUGUCACCUUGUUGCAGCUUUUGCUAAUUGACAUGCAAAGACUGACUUUGAAAAGGCAAAGUUAGAAGCAACAUAUUCCUUAUUACAAGAGUUAGACCAAAUAAAAAUAAUGUUUCAUAGACUCUCUGUGCUAUC